UACGGGGGGAGCAAGCGUUGUUCGGAUUUACUGGGCGUAAAGGGCGCGUAGGCGGUCAGCACAAGUCAGUUGCGAAAUCUCCGGGCUUAACUCGGAAAGGUCAACUGAUACUGUGCGACUAGAGUGCAGAAGGGGCAACUGGAAUUCUCGGUGUAGCGGUGAAAUGCGUAGAUAUCGAGAGGAACACCUGCGGCGAAGGCGGGUUGCUGGGCUGACACUGACGCUGAGGCGCGAAAGCCAGGGGAGCGAACGGG
rnacentral:rRNA from 1 species